UACGGAGGAUGCAAGCGUUAUCCGGAAUGAUUGGGCGUAAAGCGUCCGCAGGUGGCAAUGUAAGUCUGCUGUCAAAGCGUCUGGCUCAACCAGAUAAAGGCAGUGGAAACUACAUAGCUAGAGUGAGGUAGGGGUAGAGGGAAUUCCUGGUGUAGCGGUGAAAUGCGUAGAGAUCAGGAAGAACACCGGUGGCGAAAGCGCUCUGCUGGACCUAAACUGACACUGAGGGACGAAAGCUAGGGGAGCGAACAGG
rnacentral:rRNA from 1 species